rnacentral:rRNA from 1 species
CAUGGAGUUUGAUCCUGGCUCAGAUUGAACGCUGGCGGAAUGCUUUACACAUGCAAGUCGAACGGUAGAGGAGGCAACCCCUUGAGAGUGGCGAACGGGUGAGUAAUAUAUCGGAACGUGCCCAGUCGUGGGGGAUAACGUAGUGAAAAUUACGCUAAUACCGCAUACGAUCUAAGGAUGAAAGCGGGGGAUCGCAAGACCUCGCACGAUUGGAGCGGCAGAUAUCAGAUUAGCUAGUUGGCGGGGUAAAAGCCCACCAAGGCGACGAUCUGUAGCUGGUCUGAGAGGACGACCAGCCACACUGGAACUGAGACACGGUCCAGACUCUACGGGAGGCAGCAGUGGGGAAUUUUGGACAAUGGGCGCAAGCCUGAUCCCAGCAAUGCCGCGUGCAGGAU